rnacentral:rRNA from 1 species
CCUACGGGAGGCAGCAGUGGGGAAUAUUGCACAAUGGGGGAAACCCUGAUGCAGCGACGCCGCGUGAGUGAAGAAGUAUCUCGGUAUGUAAAGCUCUAUCAGCAGGGAAGAAAAUGACGGUACCUGUUUAUGAAGCUCCGGCCAAAUACGUGCCAGCAGCCGCGGGAAUACGUAGGGGGCAAGCGUUAUCCGGAUUUACUGGGGGUAAAGGGAGCGUAGACGGCAGCACAAGGCUGGAGUGAAAUGCCGGGGCUUAACCCCGGAACUGCUUUGGAAACUGUGCAGCUAGAGUGCAGGAGAGGUAAGUGGAAUUCCUAGUGUAGCGGUGAAAUGCGUAGAUAUUAGGAGGAACACCAGUGGCGAAGGCGGCUUACUGGACUGUAACUGACGUUGAGGCUCGAAAGCGUGGGGAGCAAACAGGAUUAGAUACCCCGGUAGUC